rnacentral:SRP_RNA from 1 species
CCGCACACAUCGGGGCGUUAGCGGUGCUCUGUACCCGCAAUCCGCUACAGCGGGGAUGAUGCGGGCAAGGAGGGACGGGCUUUCGGCAAGGUGGUCGCCCACAGAGCGAUGAGAGACCGGUACUGCGCAACGGAGGACUGUGAACCAUGUCAGGCGGGGAACCGAGCAGCAUUAAGCAGAAACCAUCGUGUGCCGCAGAGCUGCCGAUCUUGAGCUUAAAGUGCGAAGAACGGCCGGGCGUUCGCUUUCGAAUUGUCCGCGUGCGG